AGGGAGUUAGUCCAAAACAAGACCUCUGAUUUCGGCUCAGAAGAUCGUGGUUUAAUCCCAUGACCCCCUU
rnacentral:tRNA from 1 species